rnacentral:rRNA from 1 species
GGAUUAGAUACCCUGGUAGUCCACACCGUAAACGCUGUCUACUAGCUGUGUGUGCCUUUAAGGCUGUGCGUAGCGAAGCUAACGCGAUAAGUAGACCGCCUGGGGAGUACGGCCGCAAGGUUAAAACUCAAAUGAAUUGACGGGGGCCCGCACAAGCGGUGGAGCAUGUGGUUUAAUUCGAUGCAACGCGAAGAACCUUACCAUCCCUUGACAUCCUGAGAAGUUAGCAGAGAUGCUUUCGUGCCUUCGGGAACUCAGUGACAGGUGCUGCAUGGCUGUCGUCAGCUCGUGCCG